GCACCAACACAUUGCUGAUAGCAAGAUAUGUGAUCAAUAGUUUGUUGACUGAGUCAUUUCUCAGCUGAGAUGGAAUACUGGGCCACCAUCUUCGAGAAAAACUUGGGGAUUCCACAGGCAGCUGGAUGUGCAUUCACAACAAUGUCUUCUAUCCAAAGAUAUUUUGAUUGGUUCCUCUUCAACUUCAGUAAAUUCUAGCAGUGCAGGGACGUGAUUGGAAAGAGCCUACUCCUCGCUUCUCAUGAAGCAGAAGAUUUUGUUCCUUCUGUGUCUUUCCACAUCUAGCAGCAUAAUCACUGUUGUGUUUUUACAAUCUGUUAGUCUUCUAAAAAUGAGAACAAUGACCUUUGUGUUAAUUAGUUGACAUAAGAGCCUGCUGGGACUAGAAGAAUAAGACUUAAUGGGACUUGAGAUUAUACAUUCCAAUCAUAUCUGUAAAGGUAAUAACUAAUGUUAAUGAUCACAUCAAAUAGACAUGCAUUCAUACUAAUGUGCUUUUUAAUCUCUUUUCUCUUGCUGAGAUGUUCUAAGGAUUACCUAGCAAUACAAUAAACAUACUAAAGACUGCCCCUCAAAGUCUAGAAACAUAGAGAAAAAUACUUCAUUGUACUUUUAAAAAUGAGCAAACUGGUCCGUUGCUUUACAUUUAGAGAAACAUCACCUCAAAAGGUGUUUAAGAACUGGAGAAAAACAUACUAAGAAUAUUACACAAUAUAGCCAACAUGCUUUAAAAAAUAAAUGUAGCCCUGGUUUUCCAACUUUUAUAGGCCCUUCAUAUCAUGUAGUAGUAAGUGUUUUGAAGAAUAAAUAAAUAGGGAAAGAACAGGGAAUUGUAAGGAAAGGAAGAGGUAUUAUUUUAGAUAGGGUAUGAGAAGACAAAGCCAAUGGAAUGUUAAUGGUAUUUGUAACCCCUCUAGAUUGUGCCUGCUUCAGCACCACAUGUUCUGAUACCUCUAGUACUGCCUGUCUCAAGCAAGGACGGCUCACUCCAUCAGGGCUCUCGUCCUAGGUUCCAUUGAACCCAUCUUCGGCCAUAAACUUCUGGAAAUUGUAUGUGAGAUUUUCUGUAACAGAAGAAGAAAUUUAUUUCAUUCUUAUUUCAAUCACAAGAGCAUCCUUGUUGAGCCAACCAGAGCCAAUUACUGUUGUGUGGGUUGUAUGUGUGGAAGUUCAGUGAAACCAAAGACAUUUGAUGCAGUUAUGAAGAAUUUUAUUCAAUCUCAUGCCAAUGACUAAGAGUAACUGCUUAAUAGGGAGAGUGUUUUCUUCCAAUUUGAGACUGCAGAGCACUCUCUUUGCAAGAAACUCUGGCUUUAAUGAAAGUGCACCUGAGCCCAGGCAUAUUUGAUCACUCUUUCCGUGUGUUAAAAAGAGUCCUGUUUCUUUCUGGAAUUUUGAUUGCAUGUGUAAACACUGGCAACAUUUAUUUGCUUCACAUCAUUUUCUAAAUCUAUUAACUGUAGGAAAAGGAAACUUGUCCAGAGAAAAAUAAAGUGAAUGAAAAAAAUACUGAAAAUGGG
rnacentral:lncRNA from 1 species